rnacentral:rRNA from 1 species
AUUGAACGCUGACGGCAUGCUUUACACAUGCAAGUCGAACGGUAACAGGGUGCUUGCACCGCUGACGAGUGGCGAACGGGUGAGUAAUGCGUCGGAACGUGCCGAGUAGUGGGGGAUAACGCAGCGAAAGUUGUGCUAAUACAGCAUACGUACUGAGGUAGAAAGUGGGGGACCUUCGGGCCUCACGCUAUUCGAGCGGCCGACGUCUGAUUAGCUAGUAGGUGAGGUAAAGGCUCACCUAGGCGACGAUCAGUAGCGGGUCUGAGAGGAUGAUCCGCCACACUGGGACUGAGACACGGCCCAGACUCCUACGGGAGGCAGCAGUGGGGAAUUUUGGACAAUGGGCGAAAGCCUGAUCCAGCCAUGCCGCGUGUCUGAAGAAGGCCUUCGGGUUGUAAAGGACUUUUGUCAGGGAGGAAAUCCCUAGUGCUAAUAACACUGGGGGAUGACAGUACCUGAAGAAUAAGCACCGGCUAACUACGUGCCAGCCGCCGCAGUAA